rfam:Candidatus Syntrophoarchaeum caldarius isolate BOX2 BOX2_8_reassembly_contig02, whole genome shotgun sequence.
GCCCCGGUAGGGUAGCGGAUAUCCUGAGAGCCUGCGGAGCUUUCGACCCGGGUUCGAGUCCCGGCCGGGGCA